CCCAACUUCGGCGCCAUCUCAUGGCACCUCGACGACGGUGAGGCAUCCGAUCUGGCGCGCACCCAAAUGAGGUGGCGGCAGAUCAACAUCGAUGGUGUGGUUUGCAUCUGGUCAUCAGGAGAGGCGAGGAGACGCGGAUCCAGAAGGCAGGCCAUGGCGGCGGCCAGAUCCAUGCCGGGACAGGAUCUGCGUCUGGAGAACCAUACCAUGGAGGGAGGAGACCCACGCCAUGGAGCUGCUCGUCAAGGAGAGGCCCGACCCAUUCCUUUCCCUUUCCUAGUGAGUGCUCGUCAAGGUCUUUGAUUUCCUUUCCUGAUGCGAGUUCAUUUGAUAUGUUAUUCUUCCUCUUCCUCAUGCAGGUGCACACACAUGUGGGUCAACAAGGGGCAAGACCGACAGACCAGCAGCACCAUGCACACAUUCAAGACUAGUAGCUGUCGAUGCCUUGGAAGGUCCACUCCAAAUUUCUCAACUCUCUGUUUGGUCCCGUCUGGUCCUAGGCUACAUCAGUUUUGUGAUGGAAACCACAUAAUUAAGAACUUCUGCUUGUCGAGAUUUCGGUUUUGUGAUGCUUUUGUGUGUGUUUUCUGUUGGCAAAAUCAGAAACUGACGUUGUAACCAUGAUUUGGCAGAUGGACAUGCAGAUGUGGAAUAGCACCACCCUAGUAUGGUUGUAACUCCAGCGACUCAGCGGGAUAUACGAUGCUGUUUCACUCCCCCAUCAUGUGAUUGGCAGCUCACAGGAGCCAUCUAACUUCUUGUAAGAUGAUGAAGGUAUUCAAGUACUCCGGGUUCCUCUUUUUUUUGCGUCUUGGUGGAAGCCAUUCGGUACCAUAGAAGACGCUGAAGCUAUCGCUGUGCUUGUUCUUUUUUUCGGUUGUUCCUAUAGUUGACCUUAUGUGCGUGUUUCUGUACGGGUAGUCGGGUUACUUGUGAGUCUAUGAUGGUUUUCUCUUGUGCAAAGACGCCAUUUAAUUACAUUGUUGUGCAGAUAGUGUAUUCCCAAAUCAGUCACACUUUUGUAUAUAUCCAAUUAUUUACGUAACUGAAUCUUUGUGCAUGACUAUGAUACUCAAACCCAUAUUUGGCUACCACUGUAUAGUUUCUAUCUGAUUAAUCACAUAUCAAUUAGCUUUGAUGGUAUUCAUUAUGUGCCCGUUGUUGAGAUGUAUGUAAUCUUGAUGAGAAUUCAGGUCCAGUCUGUUACAUGUUUUAGAAAUACAGUAGAAAACAUGAAAGAAAUUGGGGGAAAAAUAAUCCGGGUGUCGGGUUCCUUUCACGUAAUUCAACGAACAUCCUGUUAUGCAAUCUUUGUUUUUUCCUUGCUAUGUAGUAUAUGAGAGGGAAAGUAGUGGCUGUAGAAAAACUGUACUGUUGAUAUGAGAUAUUAUUGGGGCAUAAUACAAUCAAAUUUUUUGUAUUAAUCAGCAACGUACAUAAAUAUAACGAUGUUUUAAUGGCAAUUAUUUUUCUCUUCAUAUUAGGAUUAAAAAUAUGCAGACACGUAAUAGCAAUCUACAACUCUAGAGAGUCAUGUUAAUCCUUUUUAUACAGGAGUAAGUGGGCAUGUACAGGAGUCGAGGGGGAUUUUCUUUCCUAAUUUCUUAUUUUGAGGAAGAGUUGCCGCUCCUUUUAUACGUGAUUGUUUUCCCUUUCAAUUGACAUCAAAUGAAUCUGUUUUUUUUUAUUAUCGGUGUAGGUUUUAUGUAAGGAAGCUACCUUUUUGUUAUAUAGCUAGCGAACCCAUGGAUGAUUUCCUUCUUCACUUUCACAAACU
rnacentral:lncRNA from 1 species